CCUACGGGAGGCAGCAGUGGGGAAUUUUGGACAAUGGGGGCAACCCUGAUCCAGCAAUGCCGCGUGAGUGAAGAAGGCCUUCGGGUUGUAAAGCUCUUUUGUCAGGGAAGAAACAGCAGCUCCAACACAGUCUGCGAAUGACGGUACCUGAAGAAUAAGCACCGGCUAACUACGUGCCAGCAGCCGCGGUAAUACGUAGGGUGCGAGCGUUAAUCGGAAUUACUGGGCGUAAAGCGUGCGCAGGCGGUUAUACAAGACAGGCGUGAAAUCCCCGGGCUUAACCUGGGAAUGGCGUCUGUGACUGUAUAGCUAGAGUGUGUCAGAGGGGGGUGGAAUUCCACGUGUAGCAGUGAAAUGCGUAGAUAUGUGGAGGAACACCAAUGGCGAAGGCAGCCCCCUGGGAUAACACUGACGCUCAUGCACGAAAGCGUGGGGAGCAAACAGGAUUAGAUACCCUGGUAGUCCACGCCCUAAACGAUGCUGACUAGUUGUUGGGAAUUUACAUUCUCAGUAACGUAGCUAACGCGUGAAGUCAGCCGCCUGGGGAGUACGGUCGCAAGAUUAAAACUCAAAGGAAUUGACGG
rnacentral:rRNA from 1 species